GGGCGAGUGGCGGAAUUGGCAGACGCAAAGGACUUAAAAUCCUUCGGUUGCAAGGCCGUGAGGGUUCGAGUCCCUCCUUGCCCACCA
rnacentral:tRNA from 1 species